rnacentral:pre_miRNA from 14 species
CUGUGCACGCCGGCUGCUGAGAACCAUGUCUGAUCAGAGCUGGGUACUGCCUGUUCAGAACAAACACCACUUUCUAAAAUGCGGCCAAAUGGCC